AGACUUUAGACGAGGAUAAGAAAGUGAAAACAUUAGCGAAAGUUAGGUAUUUCAUUGAGACAAAAAAGCCAAAAAUCCGUGUGAACUAUGUUAAAAAAUUGAGGUGGCUUUCUACAAUCAACUGGAAGGGUACAGGAGAGAGAAGGAGAGAAUGGACAACAGCCCGUUUGUAAUGGAUGGUCUGGUUUUGCCUGACUUUGUGAAGAAAGCAACCUCAGAAGGCCCAAGCUACAGUUUCCGUAGAAAUUGCGACUGGGUUAAGUCAGUUGCACAGGUUGAAAAGAUCCUGCGUAGCAGCAAGAAAGAAAAAGCGGAUAGGAUAAGAUGGAAAAUGGCGGAAGAAGUUAGGAAAUGUAGCCUAAACAAAGGGCGGA
rnacentral:lncRNA from 1 species